rnacentral:rRNA from 1 species
UGAGGAAUAUUGGUCAAUGGGCGGAAGCCUGAACCAGCCAAGUCGCGUGAGGGAAGACGGUCCUAUGGAUUGUAAACCUCUUUUGCCGGGGAGCAAGGCACCUCUCGGUGAGAGAUGUCGGAGAGUACCCGGAGAAAAAUGCAUCGGCUAACUCCGUGCCAGCAGCCGCGGUAAUACGGAGGAUGCGAGCGUUAUCCGGAUUUAUUGGGUUUAAAGGGUGCGUAGGCGGAUUUCUAAGUCAGCGGUCAAAUGUCGGGGCUCAACCCCGGCCUGCCGUUGAAACUGGAGGUCUUGAGUGGGCGAGAAGUAUGCGGAAUGCGUGGUGUAGCGGUGAAAUGCAUAGAUAUCACGCAGAACUCCGAUUGCGAAGGCAGCAUACCGGCGCCCGACUGACGCUGAGGCACGAAAGCGUGGGUAUCGAACAGGAUUAGAUACC